GCCUAUGACCAGACUGCACUGAUUGCACCUGAUCUUGGAAGCUAAACAGUCCUGGACCCAGGUAGAACCUGUAUGGGAGGCCACCUGGGAAUCCUGGGUGCUGUAGGCC
rnacentral:rRNA from 1 species